rnacentral:rRNA from 1 species
CAGUCGCCACGGUAAUACGAAGGUCCCAAGCGUUGUUCGGAAUCACUGGGCGUAAAGGGAGCGUAGGCGGCGUGGUAAGUCAGAUGUGAAAUCCCGGGGCUCAACCCCGGAACUGCAUCCGAUACUGCCAUGCUUGAGGGUUGGAGAGGUGACUGGAAUUCUCGGUGUAGCAGUGAAAUGCGUGGAUAUCGAGAGGAACACUCGUGGCGAAGGCGAGUCACUGGACAACAUCUGACGCUGAGGCUCGAAGGCUAGGGUAGCGAAAGGGAUUAGAUACCCGGGUAGUCCCUGUCUCUUAUAC